rnacentral:lncRNA from 1 species
AUGCAGACCUCAACGUUGGCUGCACAAAAAGGGACGAAAAAUAAGUUUCAAGGCGAGCCUAAGAAACCACCUGAGCGGGGUCACGCAGUAUUUUACAGCGAGAAGAUGGCGGAGCUGAGAGCCAAGUCGAGCCACCUCAGCUUCAGGACGUGCAUGACCAUGGUCAGCCCACUGUGGAAGAAGCUGGCCCAGAAGGAAAAGGAGCACUACCAGAGAAUAGCCCAGGAGAGGGCUAGGGAAUACCAAGUAGAGCUACGCAGCUGGUUUAAUACCUUGUCCACAAAGGAACAGGCAAAGUACUCUGAUCAAAACCCAAAUAAAUUGAAAAUCCUCGACAACCCAGAGCAGAGAUGGAUGGCAAAGAAGGGCAGAACAUCAGACUCGGAGGAUGACAACAUUGACACAUCCAGUGAUGAAGAUGACUCUGAUGAGGAUGCCGAACAUAUGAUGGAAAAGGAGAAUUGGUCAGGGUGCUCCAGUAUUAGCUCCAGUUCUGAAGAGGACUCCGAUACGGAAUGA